GAAUUUAAUAUAAAUUUUUAAUUUACAAUUAAAAGUUUAUAUUUAAAAAUUUAUAUUUUGUUGGGGGGAUAAUAAAAUUUAUUAAACUUUUUAUUUAUAGAAAGGUUUUGUGGAUUGGAGAAAAAUAUUUUAGUAACAUAGAUUAAUGAAUUAAAGAAUGAUAUAUAGUUUUAUUUUGUUAGUAUUAAUUACCUUAGGGAUAACAGCGUAAUAAUUUUUAAAAGAUCUUAUUGAAAAUAAUGAUUGC
rnacentral:rRNA from 1 species